UAAAAGAAAAAAAAACUAAAAAAAACCCUGUGCUAGGGUUUUAAACCCAGGCCGCCCCAACACAAUUUCGCCUCAAGCCUUGGCCCUCCGCCGGACCUCCGAUUCGAGUGCGGCUGGGCUUCAUCGGCGAAGCUUCGAAGGUAAACCCCUCACCCUUCUUUUGUAUUAUUUCUUUUUUUUAAAUGAAAUAAAAAGAAUAAAAGCCUAUAUUAAAAAAAAUGGUUCACCUUAAAAACGUAGGUGUUUCUUUCAAUUUCCUUGUGUAUUUCUCUGUGUAUUUUCAUUAAUGCAAUCUCCGUCCCUUAUUUUACAGAUUUAAUGGCUUUUUAUAGGCUGGAAAGGAAAAAAAUAAAAUAAAUAAAUCAUAUAUUUUGCUUGUUUUUCUCCUCCGGACUCUUUGAGUCCGUAUUUGCAGGUGAAAGUGGAGCAAAUGGCGCGCGUGGGGUGGUCGACUCCGUGACGUGCGGCGCCUGGGAACUGCUGGCGGCGUCGGGGCAGACAUGCGGCUAGGGUUCCUUUUGUUUUUUGUUUUGCUUUGGGCCAGGGCUAUUUUGGGCCACUUAUUUGUUGGGUUAAUACUAUUUUCUUUUUUUGUUUUUAAACCCAGGCCGGUUGGGCCUUAUUACAUACAUUACGUAACUCACCACUGUUUUUAUCACAUAGCACUUACUGCCAAUGUAAUCCCAACUUGGACGUUCCUAAC
rnacentral:lncRNA from 1 species